UUCCUGGUAGCUCAGCUGGUGAAAAAUUCUGCCUGUAAUGCAGAAGACCCCAGUUCAAUUCUGAGUCAGGAAG
rnacentral:tRNA from 1 species